ACGCAGGCCGCCGCGGAGGCCCAAGAAGAGGCCCAGAAUUGUACAGAAUCAAAUGGAUACGCUCUUCCCCGGACUCUUGUUGACGGAGAUCACCGCCGAUCUCUACGACGUGCCGGAAAACCCAAAAAACUCAAAGAGUUAGUACCGGAAACCGAACCGGCAGCCUCCUUAGAAGUUAGACGACCGGCAACCUGAGACGCUGCUAAUCCAUGGAUGACAUAGGACCGACAGACGGACCGAGCUCCAUCUUCUGGAAUCGAGAAUUUAUUACACCACAUUGAUUUUCAGUAGAUUUGUGUUGUAUGUUCCAUUCCAUUGCUCUGAAAACGCUAAUUCUUGUGUAUUAAUUAUAAUUACAUUUCAUUCUUGUUGUCCUGAAUAAAGAAUAACGAUUAGUGGGAAGGAAGAAGCACAAUUGUUUUGCUUUCAUCUGUGAUCGAUCUCUGGAUGGAUAUUGGUUAACAAAUUAGUGAAAAAAUUGAUGCGAGGGGAGGCGGUGGUCCAGGAUGGGCUGGAGAAGAGGUUAUUUUGGACGAGCCAUGGAUUCACAUCGUGGGUGAAUUUGGCGGAUAGGUGCCAGUUGGUGCCGAAUGCUUCAUCGUGGCGUCUUGGCCUCGCGCUUGUUCGAUACAAGUUUACAUCUGGACAGAAUCUAUCUAUAGCAUUAUACCGAAUUUUAUUUUAAAAGUUUUAUAUUUUCUUCUUCUGCCCA